rnacentral:rRNA from 1 species
AACGAACGCUGGCGGCAUGCCUAACACAUGCAAGUCGAACGAGACCUUCGGGUCUAGUGGCGCACGGGUGCGUAACGCGUGGGAACCUGCCCUUAGGUUCGGAAUAACUCCCCGAAAGGGGUGCUAAUACCGGAUAAUGUCUUCGGACCAAAGAUUUAUCGCCUUUGGAUGGGCCCGCGUUGGAUUAGCUAGUUGGUAGGGUAAAAGCCUACCAAGGCGACGAUCCAUAGCUGGUCUGAGAGGAUGAUCAGCCACACUGGGACUGAGACACGGCCCAGACUCCUACGGGAGGCAGCAGUGGGGAAUAUUGGACAAUGGGCGAAAGCCUGAUCCAGCAAUGCCGCGUGAGUGAUGAAGGCCUUACGGUUGUAAAGCUCUUUUACCCGGGAUGAUAAUGACAGUACCGGGAGAAUAAGCUCCGGCUAACUCCGUG